CUUUUAUCGACUUCUUCUGGAGUUUAGAGACUCUGACAUGAAGCAGGCUUUCCUUACUGAGGAGUUAGCAACGCUGCUAAGGGUGCAGAGCCACACAUGCGCUCAGAGCUCUGCAUGGGAGACUGAAGCUGACAGAGCUGCAGCAGUUAGCAGGUUUCACCCUCAGAGACCACCAGGGGUUCAUGUUGAGGCAUUUUUAUUUUUAUUUUUUUUUGUGCCAUAGACACUGUCAGCACAAUCUGCAGUUACACUAACAAAAAUGCUGCAAAAAACAAAGAAUUGUGGAAAAAUUACACAUGGACUGACAUAGAGGAGGAUCUACACAAGUAUUUUACAUCAUGUUUUACAUCAUGCAUCAUUUACAUCAUGUUUUUUUGUAGUGGCAUAAAUAAAAAGUGACAUUUGUGAGACUAUACAGUGUUUUGUAAAUAAUUUUACAAAGAACGCCUGGGCCAUUGCCUGCAUUUUGAUGUAAAUAGAGGUAAAUCACUAUGUUCUUUGUUAAAAAUUUGCAUAUGUUUUGAAGUUUACAAUUUUUAUUUGAAGUUUAAGUUUUAAAAACAGUUCAUCACACAUAUUUGUGGUUUUCACAGUAAAAAUGUUACUUUUUUCCACUCGGAUUUUAUGUUUUGUGUGUGAAUUUGGGUCCAUUGUGUAAAUUCAGUAUGUCAACAUGAUAAAAUAACUGUAAAUUCGCACAGGUGAGGUUGUGCUGAAAAAAAUGAUACCAGGCAAGGCACGUGAUUGUCAAAUUUUGUGUCAAUAUGACAAAGCGUAUAGGCGUGAAUCUCAACAAUAUGUAUUUUCACCUUAAGGGACAAGAAAAAAUGGACUUUUUUCUCCUGCCAUGGGGGGGGCGCUCUUUUGGGGAGUAAAAAUUCCUUCACAAAUGUGUUGAUGGCUGGACAUUGCAUCAUCCUAGAAAACUUGGAGGCCAGUGAGGACAAAAAUAAAAAGUUAUAAGACUUUUAAAUAUGUGGAUUUUAGGGUUAUCUUUGGCGCCCCCUAGAACCUAAACCGUGGGUUGCAGCGUCAUGAUUUUGAUAACUUUUAAUGGCCAUGGGGUGUAGAUUGGCCUGAGCAAAUGUGGUGCCGGUGGAACGAAAGCCUUAGGAGGAGUUAGCCACAUUCCAAUGUGUGCGGAUCGGCAAAAAAUGCGGAAUAACCCUUUAACCGUACAUUUGACAGAUACGCGCGCAUUGACUUUUUCGUAGAUCUUAUUGAGUUACAUGUGUGUGUCAAUUUUUGUGUCAUUUUGACAAAGCGUAUAGGCGUGACACUCAACAAUGUGUAUUUUCACCUUAGGGGACAAGAAAAAAUUGACUUUUUUCUCCUGCCAUGGGGGGGCGCUCUUUUGGGGAGUAAAAAUUCCUUCACAAAUGUGUUGAUGGCUGGACAUUGCAUCAUCCUAGAAAACUUGGAGGCCAGUGAGGACAAAAAUAAAAAGUUAUAAGACUUUUAAAUAUGUGGAUUUUAGUGUUAUCUUUGGCGCCCCCUAGAACCUAAACCUUGGGGUGCAGCGUCAUGAUUUUGAUAACUUUUAAUGGCCACGGGGUGUAGAUUGGCCUGAGCAAAUGUGGUGCCGGUGGAACGAAAGCCUUCGGAGGAGUUAGCGAAAUUCCAAUGUGUGCGGAUCGGCAAAAAAUGCGAAAUAACCCUUUAACCGUAAUUUUGACAGAUACGGCCGCACUGACUUUUUUGUAGAUCUUAUUGAGAUACAUAUGUGUGUCAAUUUUUGUGUCAAUAUGACAAAGCGUACAGGCGUGACAGUCAAUAGUGUGAAUUUCCACCUUAGGGGGCGCUAUGGAGCCAUUUUGCAUUUUAUUGUUUGGGCGACUUCAGAAUAUCGAAUUUUUCACCAGGCCCGGUCGUCCUGCCAAAUUUCAUGAGUUUUCGCCAGUGGGAAGUGGGCCAUUUUCCAGUUCAAAGGGGAGGAAAAAGAAACUAGGGCCCCGGUGGGGCACUGUCGGGCCCGAGCCGCGUUGCGCCGCCCCCAGCGCGACCGCCUCCCCCUCCCGAUCGCGUCACACUCAAGGUCCAAAGAUGGUGUGCGCACUUGUCUGUGGUCAUUUCCCAUUAUAAUGAAUGGGAGGCGCAGUUUCUACCAAAACACUCGCUGCAGACAAACUACAUGUCCUAUUUGAAAAAAGUCUGGACCAUGAGUGAGGGCACAAACACAGCUAGGAUAUAUCCAAACGGCAAGUUGCUCCUCGUUACGGUGUUGCCGGGAGAGUGAUGCGAUUGAGCCAUUGAGUGAUGGGCAGGAAAAACUUGACUGUUUCUCCUGCCAUGGGGGUUGGGGGUUGGGGGAUGGGGGGGGGGGAUGUGGAUUCUUUUAAGAAUGUGGAUAUUUGGGUCAUCUUUGGCGCCCCCUAGAACGUAAACCGUGGGGUGCAGCGUCAUGAUUUGAAUAACUUUGAAUGGCCAUGGGGUGUAGAUUGGCCUGAGAGAAUUUGGUGUCAGUGGGACGAAAGCCUUAGGAGGAGUUAGCCACAUUCCAAUGUGUGCGAAUCGGCAAAAAAUGCAAAAUAGCCCUUUAACCGUACAUUUUACAGAUACGCGCGCAUUGACUUUUUCGUAGAUCUUAUUGAGAUACAUGUGAUUGUCAAAUUUUGUGUCAAUAUGACAAAGCGUACAGGUAUGACAGUCAACAAUGUGUAUUUUCACCUUAUGGGACAAGAAAAAAUUGACUUUUUUCUAUUGCCAUGGGGGGGCGCUCUUUUGGGGAGUAAAAAUUCCUUCACAAAUGUGUUGAUGGCUGGACAUUGCAUCAUCCUAGAAAACUUGGAGGCCAGUGAGGGCAAAAAUAAAAAGUUAUAAGACUUUGAAAUAUGUGGAUUUUAGGGUUAUCUUUGGCGCCCCCUAGAACCUAAACCGUGGGGUGCAGCGUCAUGAUUUGAAUAACUUUUAAUGGCCAUGGGGUGUAGAUUGGCCUGAGCAAAUGUGGUGGCGGUGGAAUGAAAGCCUUCGGAGGAGUUAGCGAAAUUCCAAUGUGUGCGGAUCGGCAAAAAAUGCGGAAUAACCCUUUAACCGUACAUUUGACAGAUACGCCCGCACUGACUUUUUUGUAGAUCUUAUUGAGAUACAUGUGUGUGUCAAUUUUUGUGUCAAUAUGACAUGAGAAGGGAGGGAGGGACUCUCAGCAGGGAUGCAGUCUGGGACACGUAGUUGCAAACCUAGCGACUUUGUUGUUAGAUUCAAUUACUUUUCAGACCCCCUAACGACUUUUUUUUAGAAAGAAAGGGACUUUUAUCGACUUCUUCUGGAGUUUAGAGACUCUGACAUGAAGCAGGCUUUCCUUACUGAGGAGUUAGCAACGCUGCUAAGGGUGCAGAGCCACACAUGCGCUCCGAGCUCUGCAUGGGAGACUGAAGCUGACAGAGCUGCAGCAGUUAGCAGGUUUCACCCUCAGAGACCACCAGGGGUUCAUGUUGAGGCAUUUUCAGUU